rnacentral:tRNA from 1 species
GGUGUCUCAGUAGGAGAGUGCUUGCCUUGCAUGCAGGAAGCCCUGGGUUCAAUUCCUCAGCACCA